UCCUUGAUAGCUCAGUUGGUAAAGAAUCUGCCUACAAUGCAGAAGACCCCGGUUCGAUCCCUGGGUCGGGAA
rfam:TPA: Bos taurus chromosome 16, whole genome shotgun sequence.